CCUACGGGAGGCAGCAGUAGGGACUCUUCCACAAUGGGCGAAAGCCUGAUGGAGCAACGCCGCGUGGUUGAAGAAGGUCUUCGGAUCGUAAAACCCUGUUGUUAGAGAAGAAAGUGCGUGAGAGUAACUGUUCACGUUUCGACGGUAUCUAACCAGAAAGCCACGGCUAACUACGUGCCAGCAUCCGCGGUAAUACGUAGGUGGCAAGCGUUAUCCGGAUUUAUUGGUCGUAAAGGGAACGCAGGCGGUCUUUUAAGUCUGAUGUGAAAGCCUUCGGCUUAACCGGAGUAGUGCAUUGGAAACUGGGAGACUUGAGUGCAGAAGAGGAGAGUGGAACUCCAGGUGUAGCGGGGAAAUGCGUAGAUAUAUGGAAGAACACCAGUGGCGAAAGCGGCUCCCUGGUCUGUAACUGACGCUGAGGUUCGAAAGCGUGGGUAGCAAACAGGAUUAGAUACCCCGGUAGUC
rnacentral:rRNA from 1 species